GUUGGAGUGGCAGUUGGUCCUAAUUUCUCCCGAAGCCCGCGGAGGAGCGGCGUGCCGCGAUUCACCAGCCUGGUCCCUUCUGCGGAGAGCGAUGCCGCUUCCCAACACCAUGUUCUGCGCUCAGCAGAUCCACAUUCCCCCGGAGCUGCCGGACAUCCUGAAGCAAUUCACCAAGGCUGCCAUCCGCACCCAGCCGGCCGACCUGCUGCAGUGGUCCGCGGGCUAUUUUUCAGCUUUGUCGAGAGGAGAUCCACUUCCUGUAAAGGACAGAAUGGAAAUGCCCACGGCAACGCGGAAAACAGACACAGGCCUGACUCAAGGACUCCUGAAAGUUUUGCACAAGCAGUGUCACCACAAGCGGUAUGUGGAAUUAACAGAUCUUGAGCAGAAGUGGAAGAACUUGUGCCUGCCGAAGGAAAAAUUCAAAGCGCUCUUACAACUGGAUCCUUGUGAAAACAAAAUCAAGUGGAUAAACUUUUUAGCACUUGGAUGCAGCAUGCUUGGCGGGUCCUUGAACACUGCGCUGAAGCACCUGUGCGAGAUCCUCACGGACGACCCGGAGGGCGGGCCCGCUCGCAUCCCCUUCAAGACGUUUUCCUACGUCUACCGCUACUUGGCCAGAUUAGACUCAGACGUGUCUCCCUUGGAGACAGACUCCUACCUUGCCUCUCUAAAGGAAAGUGUGUAAGUAUGCACCUUCUCUAGGAUUCAAGUAUGUUGACCAUGGGUGAAUCUCCUGUUUCACUUCCCCCUUGUAGGGAAAAAACUCAGUUCUUCCAUUGCUCUCACACCACA
rnacentral:sRNA from 1 species